UACAGAGGGUGCGAGCGUUAAUCGGAAUUACUGGGCGUAAAGCGCGCGUAGGCGGCUUUGCAAGUCGGGUGUGAAAUCCCCAGGCCUAACCUGGGAACUGCAUUCGAGACUGCAUGGCUAGAGUAUCGGAGAGGGAAGUGGAAUUCCUGGUGUAGCGGUGAAAUGCGCAGAUAUCAGGAAGAACACCCGUGGCGAAGGCGGCUCUCUGGGACGGUAC
rnacentral:rRNA from 1 species